rnacentral:lncRNA from 1 species
UGGCAAAUCACACUCCCGGCUCAGACCGCAUUUGGUAAGUGCCGGUGUCACGGAGAUAUUCCUUCAGAGUCAGAGCGACGGACGCUCAGCAGAGUCUUCCAGAGAAGAUGGGACUUCAAACCGCACAUGCAAGGAUGGUUAGGACCUGGAGAGAAAGGACAUCCUCUCACGCAGCAAUUCCAGAGAGCCGAGUACUGAUGCGCUUGGAUCCAGAGGGGCAGAGAGCCGCAAAGUCGGGGCAUCAAGUGACUACGAUGGCGCAUGUGUGCAUCGAUGUUUGUGGUUGUCUCCCUGGUGUGGACCCGGGACCAAGCUUCAGCAUCCGGCACUAGAGCAACACGGGGCCUGUGCGUGCCGAUGGUCUUAACAGCGUUUGGUAAUUAAAAGAGAUACCUAGGUCAAGAGUUUUGAUAAUCCACGUGUGGUAAAUGUGGUUCACAGACUGUCCUCUACUUUUAUGAACCCACACUUUGGUAUACUAUAUACUGACAUCCCUGAGCCACAUUCCCCAUGCUGAAUUAGGUCUUUCCGUACAUCAGCAGGCUAAUAAUAACUUCCAUCCAUCUCCUGGGUGAGGUUCUGUAGUUUCCAGCAAAUGAUUUUCCUCCUCUCCACCUCCCCCAUCCCUCACUGCACCGACCUGCCCUCCAGGACUGAGACUGGAGCUGAGACUGGUG